GACAGAGGGUGCAAACGUUGCUCGGAAUCACUGGGCGUAAAGGGCGUGUAGGCGGGUAUGUAAGUCGGGCGUGAAAUCCCUAGGCUCAACCUAGGAACUGCACUCGAAACUGCGUUUCUUGAGUAUCGGAGAGGAAAGCGGAAUACCUGGUGUAGAGGUGAAAUUCGUAGAUAUCAGGUGGAACACCAGUGGCGAAGGCGGCUUUCUGGACGAUAACUGACGCUGAGACGCGAAAGCGUGGGGAGCAAACAGG
rnacentral:rRNA from 1 species